rnacentral:tRNA from 1 species
GGAUACUUAGCUCAGUGGUAGAGCGCUUCGUUCACAUCGAAGAGGCCACAGGUUCGAACCCUGUAGUAUCCA